CCUACGGGUGGCAGCAGUGGGGAAUCUUGGACAAUGGGCGCAAGCCUGAUCCAGCCAUGCCGCGUGAGUGAAGAAGGCCUUCGGGUUGUAAAGCUCUUUUGCCAGGGACGAUAAUGACGGUACCUGGAGAAUAAGCCCCGGCAAACUUCGUGCCAGCAGCCGCGGUAAUACGAAGGGGGCUAGCGUUGUUCGGAAUUACUGGGCGUAAAGCGCACGUAGGCUGAUAGUUAAGUGAGGGGUGAAAUCCCGAGGCUCAACCUCGGAACUGCCUUUCA
rnacentral:rRNA from 1 species